rnacentral:snRNA from 1 species
UCGGAAGAUAAGCAUGGCCCCUCCACAGGGAUGACACACAAAUUCAUGAAAUAUUCCAUAUAAAU